rnacentral:rRNA from 1 species
CUUUAGCCCAAUCAGUAUUAAAGGUCCCGCCUGCCCAGUGAAAAUUUUAACGGCCGCGGUAUUCUAACCGUGCAAAGGUAGCGUAAUCACUUGUCUUCUAAAUAAAGACUAGUAUGAAUGGCUAAAUGAGGACAGACCUGUCUCCUGUAACUAAUCAGUGAAACUGAUCUUCCAGUACAAAAGCUGGAAUAUAGACAUAAGACGAGAAGACCCUGUGGAGCUUAAAACAUCCACUAACAAGCAAAUAUCUGCCCUAGUGUAUAGUUUUAAGUUGGGGCGACUUCGGAGUAAAAUAAAACCUCCGAGCACAGAGCCACAUACUCUUACCAAGGCCAACAAGCCAAAGUUAAAACAACCGACCCAGUAUUACUGAUCAACGAACCAAGUUACCCCAGGGAUAACAGCGCUAUCUUCUUCAAGAGUCCCUAUCGACAAGAAGGUUUACGACCUCGAUGUUGGAUCAGGACACCCAAAUGGUGCAGCCGCUAUUAAUGGUUCGUUUGUUCAACGAUUAACAGUCCUACGUGAUCUGAGUUCAGACCGGAGAAAUCCAGGUCGGUUUCU